rnacentral:rRNA from 1 species
GAAGAACGCAGCGAAAUGCGAUAAGUAAUGUGAAUUGCAGAAUUCAGUGAAUCAUCGAAUCUUUGAACGCAACUUGCGCUCUCUGGUAUUCCGGAGAGCAUGCCUGUUUGAGUGUCAUGAAAUCUCAACCAUUAGGGUUUCUUAAUGGCUUGGAUUUGGAGGUUGCCAUUCUAAAUGGCUCCUCUUAAAGGAGUUAGCAAGUUUUACUAUUGCUAUCUGGCGUAAUAAGUUUCGCUGGAAUGGUAUUGUGAAGCGUGCUUCUAAUCGUCUUCCGCGCACAAUUACUUUGACUCUGGCCUCAAAUCAGGUAGGACUACCCGCUGAACUUAAGCAUAUCAAU